rnacentral:lncRNA from 1 species
UGGUUUAUAAACAACAGAAAUUUAUUUCUCACAGCGCUGGAGACCAGGAAGUCCAAGAUGGGGGUGCUGGCAGAUUCCAUGUCUGGAAGGCCCAUCCUUGGAUGGCAGACCGCCAUCUUGCAGAAACAGGAAGGGAGCUCCCCGGAAUCUCUUAGAAGGCCACCAGUCUCAGUCAGGACACAAUUACCGCACCCUCACGACAUAAGUAUUGUCCAGGCCCCACCUCCAAAUACCAUCACAUUGAGCACCAGGUUUCAACACAUGAAUUUUGGGGUGACACAGGUACUUUUCAAAAUAAGUACUUGGUUACCUAAUACCCUCAGAAGUGGAUCAAUGGAUGCUUUAUUUUUAUCAUUAGGAACUCAAGAUUUACACACACUUGAACUGUUUUACUCUCGUGUAGACACUAAUCAUAUAAUCCUCAGAUUGUCCCAUCAUUAAAACAUGUGGGCCCUCUCAAGUUGGACCUCAAGUGUUUUUGUCACGAUCCUGGUUAAGUGUUUGAUAGCCUCUUGCCAUCUGGUUGUGACGGAAUGCUCCAGGUUCCUCUUAUACUUUCCUGUCCUACCCCUGGAUUCAUCUGUUUCUUCAAGGAACCAGCUGGUUCUUUCAGUGGGAAAUAUUUAGAGACCACGAACUGCUUACCGACAUGGGAAUGCUGCUCGUCUUUAGGCCUCUUCAUGGAUAGAGUUAGGAAAUGAUCUUUUUAAGAUAAAAACAUAAUGAGUUUAAUAUGAUUAUAUACUGGUAUUUCCAACUCAAAUUGAAAACCACAGGGUCUUUACCUAACCUUAUCAAUCUUAUAUGGGUUUCUCUUUUCUUCCAUACUGAAGAUCCCAGUUCCCAAUGACACCAACAGAAUUACUCAUAUGCCCAAAACAUAAUACUGAAAGUAGUUUAAUUUUUUCUUUUGCACAGUUCUUAGUCCUAGGGAGUAAAUAGCCUGUUAUGGAUAUACAAAUUAUCAUGUUUUAGAAUCACUUAAAAUUGUGCCUCUCUGUGUAGCUAUGCCACUAACAUGAUGCACAGUUAGACACAUUGUUUCACUUUGGUCUUAUUUGGGGAUUGCUUUUUUAUUUUAUUUUAUUUUAUUUUAUUUUAUUUUAUUUUAUUUAUUUUAUUUUUUGAAAGAGAGAGAGAAAAUGCAUGCUUGCACUCAAGUGGGGAUGCAGGGGGUGGUGGGGAGAGUGACAGGAGAGAGUCUUUUUAAAGAUUGUAUAUAUUUAUUUGAGAGAGAAAUAGCAAGAGAGAGCACAAGCAGGGAAGGGGCAGAAGGAGAGGAAGAAGCAGACUCCCCACUGAGCAGGGAGCCCCUAUAGGGCUCUAUCCCAGGACCCUGAAAUCACGAUCUGAGCCAAAGGCAGCUGCUUAACUGACUGAGUCCCCCAGGUGCCCGGGAGAGAAUCUUAGGCAGGCUCCAUAUCCAGUACAAAGCCCCACCUGGAGCUCGAUCCCGCAAUCCUGAGAUCAUGACCUGAGCCAAAAUCAAGAGUCAGAUCCUUCACUGACUGAGCCACCUAGGAGUCCCUGGGGAUUACUUUUUUUAAAUUUAAUUUUUUUUAGAAUUAUGUGAAAUAGUUUAUCAUAGUUUCCAAUGCAAACCUACAAAGGAAGGCUUAUUUGAAGAAAUCUCCCUCUUAAUUAGAUGAAUAGUAGGAUACCACCCAGAUUUUUCUCUACUAUGCUUUUUUUUCACUUAGCAAUAUAUCCUAAAGAUCUCUCCAGAAUAGCAU